UGUCCUGAUGAUCCCGUAGGAAGUGCCGUCAGAAGCGAUAACUGACGACUUUACGCUUAUCUGAUG
rnacentral:snoRNA from 1 species